CGGGAUACCCGAGGGAAACUUCGGUUAAUACGGUAUAAGACCACACUACCGCAUGGUAGAGGGGUAAAAGGGGCAACCUGGUAUGAGAUGGACUCGCGUCGCAUUAGCUAGUUGGUGAGGUAACGGCCCACCAAGGCGACGAUGCGUAGCCGACCUGAGAGGGUGAUCGGCCACAUUGGGACUGAGAUACGGCCCAGACUCCUACGGGAGGCAGCAGUGGGGAAUAUUGGGCAAUGGAGGAAACUCUGACCCAGCAAUGCCGCGUGAAUGAAGAAGGUCUUCGGAUUGUAAAGUUCUUUAGUCAGGGAAGAAGUCAAUGACGGUACCUGAAGAAUAAGCUCCGGCUAACUACGUGCCAGCAGCCGCGGUAAUACGUAGGGAGCAAGCGUUGUUCGGAAUGACUGGGCGUAAAGGGUGCGUAGGCGGUUGUACAAGCUAGAAGUGAAAUACCCAGGGCUUAACUCGGGUGCUGCUUCUAAAACUGUAUGACUUGAGUGCAGUAGAGGUUAGUGGAAUUCCUAGUGUAGCGGUGGAAUGCGUAGAUAUUAGGAGGAACACCAGAGGCGAAGGCGGCUAACUGGACUGCAACUGACGCUGAGGCACGAAAGUGUGGGGAGCAAACAGGAUUAGAUACCCUGGUAGUCCACACUGUAAACGAUGGAUACUAGAUGUAGGAGGUAUCGACUCCUUCUGCGUCGCAG
rnacentral:rRNA from 1 species